GCCUGGGUGGCUCAGUCGGUUGGGCGUCCGACUUCAGCUCAGAUCAUGAUCUCACAGUUUGUGAGUUUGAACCCCACGUCAGGCU
rnacentral:tRNA from 1 species